GGGGGAUAUUGCGCAAUGGGCGAAAGCCUGACGCAGCAACGCCGCGUGAAUGAAGAAGCUCUUCGGAGUGUAAAGUUCUGUCCUAUGGGAAGAAGAUGACGGUACCAUAGGAGGAAGCCCCGGCUAACUACGUGCCAGCAGCCGCGGUAAUACGUAGGGGGCAAGCGUUAUCCGGAAUCAUUGGGCGUAAAGCGUGCGUAGGCGGCUUGAAAGGUCAGAGGUGAAAGGCUGGGGCUCAACCCCAGUUAGCCUUUGAAACCAGCAGGCUUGAGUACAGGAGGGGAAAGUGGAAUUUCUAGUGUAGCGGUGGAAUGCGUAGAUAUUAGAAGGAACACCAGUGGCGAAGGCGACUUUCUGGACUGUAACUGACGCUGAGGCACGAAAGCGUGGGGAGCGAAC
rnacentral:rRNA from 1 species